rnacentral:rRNA from 1 species
UACGUAGGGUGCGAGCGUUUGUCCGGAAUCACUGGGCGUAAAGGGCGCGUAGGCGGCGUUUUUUUAAGUCGGGGGUGAAAGCCUGUGGCUCAACCACAGAAUGGCCUCGAUACUGGGACGCUUGAGUAUGGUAGAGGUUGGUGGAACUGCGAGUGUAGAGGUGAAAAUUCGUAGAUAUUCGCAAGAACACCGGUGGCGAAGGCGGCCAACUGGACCAUUACUGACGCUGAGGCGCGAAAGCGUGGGGAGCAAACAGG